CACCAAGACCUGCAUCGCUUCAGGCUUUCCUCCCACAUUAAGCUGACACGCCGCGAUGUAACUGGAAUAAUGUUAAAAGUGGUGUUAAACCCAACUCACUCACUCAACUUUCGACCACUGCAUGCUCUCGUUUGUAGUUUGAACGUGAUUGCCCCUAAGUGUUGUUAUGGAACUGUUCGUAUGGGUAUUAGCCUCAGGAUUGGAAGUCAAUAUUUAUUCCCUCCGACAUAAUGUUUUAAGGUUAACAAAAUCAAGAAUAAGGAUGAAGAUUUCAGAAAAGGGUUUAUAUGAUUGGUCAGUGUUCCGUCCAUGUUAUUUGGGCAAUCAUGACAGUUUUGUUAAGCCUAUGUAUAGUGAUGUGGAGAAAAUAACUUUGACAUUCAGUCAUGUCAUGUCAUGUGAAAUCUCUUUUAACAUAUUGUAUAUAUACACAACAAAGAAGAUAUUAUAUUUCGCUGUAAACAGCUGAUGCAGCAUUUAAUAUCACUCUCUCUCAUGACAUACAAUCCGUCCCACACAUUGAACAUCAAUAUUCACCUAUGUUAUCAGCAAUAUGUCUCUACAUAGACUUGUUUUUAUUGUUCAAGGAUGAGACAUGUGGCUGAUUAGAUGAUGUACAGCAUAUAUUGUGUAGAGAAGUAUUUAUUGUCUGUUAUUUCAUCCCUAUGUCUUAUGUAGUAACAAUCAUCCUUUCCCCAACUGUCAUGUUAUAUGGCAAUGUUUCAUGUUCAUAUAGGGGCGGUCGGGUAGCCUAGUGGUUAAAGCGUUCGCUCGUCACGCCGAAGAUCCAGGUUCGAUUCCCGACAUGGAUACAAUGUGUGAAGCCCAUUUCUGGUGUCCCCCGCCGUGAUAUUGCUGGAAUAUUGCUGAAAGCGGCGUAAAAUCAAACUCACUCACUCACUCACUCAUGUUCAUAUUUAUUUCAUUUAUUAAGUGCUUAACUAACCUGAUGGCAAAUGUUUUAUACUUUUAUCAUGUUUAAUUCAUUAUGAGGUGGAUGCACCUCUCCUGUAUUUCUAACUGUUAAGUAAGAUUGUGUCCAUGAUGGCUGACACUUACUGUUAUAUAUGCUGUAUUUGUUACCAUGAUUGUUUCUGCAGGAACUCUUUGCCGUUUGGCUUGUUUAUCAUGGCAGUGGUUUUGCUGCCCUUUUAUGCUACUUAUAUUACUUAUAAUUUUGUAGGGGCGGUCGGGUAGCCUAGUGGUUAAAGCGUUCGCUAGUCACACCGAAGACCCGGGUUCGAUUCCCGACAUGGGUACAAUGUGUGAAGCCCAUUUCUGGUGUCUUCAACUGUGAUAUUGCUGGAAUAUUGCUAAAAGAGGCGUAAAACCAUACUCACUCACUCACUAUAAUUUUGUAUCUGGUAAAAUCCUGUAUUAAUUCAUACUGUUCACUUGUUAUGUUGAUGUGGAUAAGUGUUUUUUAUUUCUGCAUUUUAGCAUGUGACUCAUGGUCUUAGAGUUUGUUGGUACAAGAAUAAUUAGAAGUGAAACUAGUCAAACAUAGGUUUGAUCCAGACUUGUAAUGUCAUAUAGGAAUUGUUGUUGUGUUAUGGGGAUCGGUUGGUCAGAAUGGCUGCUGGGGAGGACUUGUACUUGGAGGGUGACCCUCUGGUGAGACUCCCCUCAGCUUUAACAUGGGUACCCUACAGAGGGUUUCAUGACUGGUGUUCAUGUGUCCUCUGUAACCGUGGUAACCUCGUACCCCAUUAGAGGGAGUCUAAUCUGUAACCAUGGUAACUGACUGUCCUCGUACCCCAACAGUGUGUUUCAUGGCUCCUCUAAACCAUGGUAACUGACUGUAUUCGUACCCCAAUAGGGUGGAUUAUGAGUCCUCUAUGACCAUGGUAACUGACUGUCCUCGUACCCCAACGCGGUGGAUCAUGGCUCCUCUGUAACCGUGGUAACCUCGUAUCCCAUUAGAGGGAGUCUAAUCUGUAACUAUGGUAACUGACUGUCCUCGUACCCCAACAGUGUGUUUCAUGGCUCCUCUAAACCAUGGUAACUGACUGUAUUCGUACCCCAAUAGGGUGGAUUAUGAGUCCUCUAUGACCAUGGUAACUUAAACUGACUGUCCUCAUACCCCAACGCGAUGGAUCAUGGCUCCUCUGUAACCAUGGUAACUGACUCUCCACGUUCCCCAACAGAAUGGAUCAUGGCUCCUGCAACCUGCUUUGAUAGUUUUACUUAAUCUUGUCUUCGUUAUUAACUUGUGUGAGUAAAAUCAAGUCUCAUUCUGUGCACUUUUAUAUGAAUUAAUUUAUUUUAUGCUGGACACUUUACGCUACUCAUAAUUUUAGUCAUUUCUUCAGUUUAAUGUUACCUGUAUUUGGUGUGUUUAAACAGUGUGUCUCGAUAGAAUAAUGCUGCUUGAAUGAUGGUACUGUUUCGAUUGGCUGUGAUAUGAACAUUAUCAUUUAGUUGUUGUUGUCCUUGAUUACUUACAUGCCACUUUUUUCUUUGUGACCUCAGUUUGUGUAGUAACCAUAUACAAUAAUCACACCAUUCUUUGUUAUUCUGGUGAGAAAUGGUGCCACCAUUUAGGAUGAUUAAUUACUCAACUAGCAUGCAAUCUGUUCGCCUGUGGGGAGUGACAUGAUCACAUUGUCCCAGCUGAUCAGCCACACCUGUAAUCAGUGCACCUGUAGGGAGGGACAUGAUCAUGCUGUCCCAGCUGAUCAGCCACACCUGUAAUCAGUACACCUGUAGCGGGGGACAUGAUCACGCUGUCCCAGCUGAUCAGCUACACCUGUAAUCAGCCACACCUGUAGGGAGGGACAUGAUCACGCUGUCCCAGCUGAUCAGCCACACCUGUAAUCAGUACACCUGUAGCGGGGGACAUGAUCACGCUGUCCCAGCUGAUCAGCUACACCUGUAAUCAGCCACACCUGUAGGGAGGGACAUGAUCACGCUGUCCCAGCUGAUCAGCUACACCUGUAAUCAGCCACACCUGUAGGGAGGGACAUGAUCACGCUGUCCCAGCUGAUCAGCCACACCUGUAAUCAGUACACCUGUAGCGGGGGACAUGAUCACGCUGUCCCAGCUGAUCAGCUACACCUGUAAUCAGCCACACCUGUAGGGAGGGACAUGAUCACACUGUCCCAGCUGAUCAGCCACACCUGUAAUCAGCCACACCUGUAGGGAGGGACAUGAUCACAUUGUCCAAGCUGAUAAGCCACACCUGUAAUCAGUACACCUGUAGGGAGGGACAUGAUCAUGGUGUCCCAGCUGAUCAGCCACACCUGUAAUCAGUACACCUGUAGCGAGGGACAUGAUCACAUUGUCCCAGCUGAUCAGCCACACCUGUAAUCAGUACACCUGUAGCGAGGGACAUGAUCACAUUGUCCCAACUGAUCAGCCACACCUGUAAUCAGUACACCUGUAGGGAGGGACAUGAUCACAUUGUCCCAGCUGAUCAGCCACACCUGUAAUCAGUACACCUGUAGUGAGGGAUAUGAUCACAUUGUCCCAGCUGAUCAGCCACACCUGUAAUCAGUACACCUGUAGGGAGGGACUUGAUCACAUUGUCCCAGCUAAUCAGCCACACCUGUAAUCAGUACACCUGUAGGGAGGGACAUGAUCACAUUGUCCCAGCUGAUGAGCCACACCUGUAAUCAGUACACCUGUAGGGAGGGACAUGAUCACAUUGUCCCAGCUGAUCAACCACACCUGUAAUCAGUACACCUGUAGUGAGGGAUAUGAUCACAUUGUCCCAGCUGAUCAGCCACACCUGUAAUCAGUACACCUGUAGGGAGGGACAUGAUCACAUUGUCCCAGCUGAUCAGCCACACCUGUAAUCAGCCACACCUGUAGGGAGGGACAUGAUCACGCUGUCCCAGCUGAUCAGCCACACGAGGUACUCCAGGACUAUUUAUUGCACACAUCUUCAGCUGCAGAAAGCACAGUGAUUACAUGGUAUUGUGCAAGAUGACUACAUCCUUGAGGACAUCCUUGAGGACAUCCUUGAGGACCUUGAGAUGAUAUUUACUGUAGAUGAACUCCGUCCUGUGAUGGUGAAUCUCAGGUCCUAUAUGUACAUAUGUGAGGUGAAAAGAUGGGGAGGCCCUCUUUCCACAUGGAUUCAUAUGAUAAUUUACUUUUUAUUUAUGUAAAGACAGUUUAACUUGCACAGCAAGAAGUUGACUGGUGCAGUGUUGAAAUAGAAACUGUAGAACAUCCAUGUCCAUUUUGUUAGCAUUGGGAUAAAAAAUGUAUUACUAUUUCAAUUGUCUACCAUAUUUAUACCCUUUUAAAACUCUUACUUUCUACCAGAUUAACACGUUUUGGCAGCGUAGGCUGGUGGACAUGUGUUGUUGGAUUGUGAAAAUAGAUGUAAUGACGUGUCAGCUUGUAAAAUAAAUGGCAUCACUUGUUAUAUAA
rnacentral:lncRNA from 1 species